AAAAGCCUUGCCAUGAAUUAAUUGAUCUAGAAGGCAAGUAGAAUAACCAAUCUUUUGCGUGGUCGGCUAAUGAAAAUUGGAAGGCACGUAGUUUGAUUUGAUCUUUGGUGAUGCCUUACAGUCUCAUGCUCAAACAAAAAAUGUGGAACUCCUUCAAAUGUUUGUGAGGAUAUUCAUUCUCAAGUCUGCGGAAGGUCGGGAGUAAAAGGAUAAGCCCAGACUUGAGUGCAAACGGCACCUCUGGAUCGCGAUAAUCAAAGUACAAUGGUUGUUGCGC
rnacentral:lncRNA from 1 species